rnacentral:rRNA from 1 species
GUAGGGAAUAUUGGACAAUGGGCGAAAGCCUGAUCCAGCAAUGCCGCGUGAGUGAUGAAGGCCUUAGGGUUGUAAAGCUCUUUUACCAGGGAUGAUAAUGACAGUACCUGGAGAAUAAGCUCCGGCUAACUCCGUGCCAGCAGCCGCGGUAAUACGGAGGGAGCUAGCGUUGUUCGGAAUUACUGGGCGUAAAGCGCGCGUAGGCGGCGAUUUAAGUCAGAGGUGAAAGCCCGGGGCUCAACCCCGGAAUAGACUUUGAGACUAGAUUGCUAGAAUCCUGGAGAGGUGAGUGGAAUUCCGAGUGUAGAGGUGAAAUGCGUAGAGAUCGGGAGGAACACCAGUGGCGAAGGCGACUUACUGGACUGUAACUGACGCUGAGGCGCGAAAGUGUGGGGAGCAAACAGGAUUAGAAACCCGGGUAGUCC